rnacentral:siRNA from 1 species
AACAUAGGAAGGGAGGAGCAACA